UGGGAGUUGAAGUCCAAAAGUCUUUAAAGUUUUGGAACAAUAUUUCCCAACCUUGCCAAGCUUGAAAAACUCAUUAUUUAUAACAACAAUGAAGAAGAAGGGAACUAAACAUUAAUAUUGUACCAAGUCAAAAAAAAAAACAUGGAUAGUCACCUUUUCAGAUUAAAUGGUUUGUUUGUUUAUUUGUUUGUUUGUUUAUAAAAUUUAUAAGCCGCCAUCUUACCUCAAAGUAACCCUUUGAGCCCAAUCUUGGCUUAUUUUACAAAAUGCAAGGUAGAUCCUGGCUUGUUUCUCACUUCAGAAGCUUU